UUUCUUGAAGAAUUCUUCCUAUAGAUUAUUAUGUUUUUAAUCUAAAUUAUUAUUUUUUACAUAAAGUGUUGUCUGAGUUAUUGUGAAACAAUAAUACUUAAACCAAGAACAGUUUGAUUUUAAUAGUGGCAGCUUAGUUGAAGAAAUAUUAUGACAUUUAUGACUCAACUUAUUGACUUGAAAAUUACUUUGCUGAAUUUUCAAGAUUGUCUUAUAAAUCUACAAAUGUGAUAAGAAAAACAUCCACCUUUCAAUGUGCAUUGUGUGAUUAUACCACUUACUUGCGGGGUAAUCUGACGAGACACGUGCAAACACAUACAGGAGAACGUCCUUACAAAUGUGCUGAUUGUAAUAGAACUUUUACGCAGAAAGAACAUAUGACCAUUCAUGCUUUUACAAAGCAUGCUAAAAUUUAAUCUGUAGAUAAAUAACAGCAUUUUGUAAAUGAUGUAAUCAAUUGUGAUAUUACCUCAUAAAAUUAUUGUAUUAUUCAUGUGUUCAUAUACAAAGCUUUCUUUCAACAUUAUUUUUUAAUAUUAUUUGUUGUUCUUUUGAAAUAUUUGGGUUAGUUCUAAAAUGAGUAUAACUAUCUGCUUUUUAAAAUUUUGUUGUAUUGCCUAUGCCUUACUUAUUUUCUUUUAUGAUAUCUAACUAUACAUAUUUAUUGCACAAAUUCUUAGGUAUAAUUUAUUAAUAAAGGUAGUUAAAAGUG